rnacentral:rRNA from 1 species
CACGUGGGCAAUCUGCCCUUCACUCUGGGACAAGCCCUGGAAACGGGGUCUAAUACCGGAUAAUACUCCUGCCUGCAUGGGUGGGGGUUGAAAGCUCCGGCGGUGAAGGAUGAGCCCGCGGCCUAUCAGCUUGUUGGUGGGGUAAUGGCCUACCAAGGCGACGACGGGUAGCCGGCCUGAGAGGGCGACCGGCCACACUGGGACUGAGACACGGCCCAGACUCCUACGGGAGGCAGCAGUGGGGAAUAUUGCACAAUGGGCGAAAGCCUGAUGCAGCGACGCCGCGUGAGGGAUGACGGCCUUCGGGUUGUAAACCUCUUUCAGCAGGGAAGAAGCGCAAGUGACGGUACCUGCAGAAGAAGCGCCGGCUAACUACGUGCCAGCAGCCGCGGUAAUACGUAGGGCGCAAGCGUUGUCCGGAAUUAUUGGGCGUAAAGAGCUCGUAGGCGGCUUGUCACGUCGGAUGUGAAAGCCCGGGGCUUAACC